rnacentral:lncRNA from 1 species
UUUCCAUUUGUUUUAGCAGCUGCCAUAAUGUUAUAAUUUUAUACUGUGAUGUCCUUCAGUUGUCCUCAGCUGAAACCUGAGCUGUCACACUGAGGUGCAGAAGACAAAAGGAACAGAAAAGCAUCAUUGCUAGUGUUAUUUUAGAGUGAAGGGCAAGCCAUGAAUAGGUGUUGAAUAGAUACAUUUGGAAGUAGGAAUCCUUUGCUUUUCUAGAGGUUCCUUUUAAUCAAGGUAUGCAGGAGAAAAGAGCAAUUUCAACUAAGUGGAAAGUCUCAAAAAUG